rnacentral:rRNA from 1 species
GAUCAUGGCUCAGGAUGAACGCUAGCGAUAGGCCUAACACAUGCAAGUCGAGGGGCAGCACAUGAAGCAGCAAUGCGGAUGGUGGCGACCGGCGCACGGGUGAGUAACGCGUAUGCAACCUACCUACAACGGGGGAAUAACCCGUUGAAAGACGGACUAAUACCCCAUAACACAGGGAUCCCGCAUGGGAAUAUUUGUUAAAGAUUUAUCGGUUGUAGAUGGGCAUGCGUUCCAUUAGCUAGUUGGUGAGGUAACGGCUCACCAAGGCAACGAUGGAUAGGGGAACUGAGAGGUUUAUCCCCCCACACUGGUACUGAGACACGGACCAGACUCCUACGGGAGGCAGCAGUGAGGAAUAUUGGUCAAUGGGCGCAAGCCUGAACCAGCCACGUCGCGUGAAGGAAGACGGCCCUACGGAUUGUAAACUUCUUUUGUAAGGGAAUAAAGUGUAGUACGUGUACUAUUUUGCAUGUACCUUACGAAUAAGGAUCGGCUAACUCCGUG